rnacentral:rRNA from 1 species
AGUGAACGCUGGCGGUAGGCCUAACACAUGCAAGUCGAACGGCAGCACAGUAAGAGCUUGCUCUUACGGGUGGCGAGUGGCGGACGGGUGAGGAAUACAUCGGAAUCUACUUUUUCGUGGGGGAUAACGUAGGGAAACUUACGCUAAUACCGCAUACGACCUACGGGUGAAAGCAGGGGAUCUUCGGACCUUGCGCGAUUGAAUGAGCCGAUGUCGGAUUAGCUAGUUGGCGGGGUAAAGGCCCACCAAGGCGACGAUCCGUAGCUGGUCUGAGAGGAUGAUCAGCCACACUGGAACUGAGACACGGUCCAGACUCCUACGGGAGGCAGCAGUGGGGAAUAUUGGACAGUGGGCGCAAGCCUGAUCCAGCCAUACCGCGUGGGUGAAGAAGGCCUUCGGGUUGUAAAGCCCUUUUGUUGGGAAAGAAAAGCAGCAGGUUAAUACCCCGCUGUUCUGACGGUACCCAAAGAAUAGGCACCGGCUAACUUCGU